rnacentral:rRNA from 1 species
UAGGGAACCUUCGGCAAUGGACGAAAGUCUGACCGAGCAACGCCGCGUGAGUGAAGAAGGUUUUCGGAUCGUAAAACUCUGUUGGUAGAGAAGAACGUUGGUGAGAGUGGAAAGCUCAUCAAGUGACGGUAACUACCCAGAAAGGGACGGCUAACUACGUGCCA